CGCAGAAGCAGCGCCCGCGAGGGGCCGUGGAGCGGCUGGAAGCGAAAAUGUAGGCAUGAGUAACGAUAAGACGGGUGAAAAACCCGUCCACCGUAAACCCAAGGGUUCCUGAUCAACGCUAAUCGGAUCAGGGUUAGUCGAGACCUAAGGUGUACCCGGUGAGGCCGGGGAAGCCGAUGGCAAAGCGGUUAAAUAUUCCGCUACCGAAGCCAACGUAUGGCUAAGGCGUGACGCAGAAGUG
rnacentral:rRNA from 12 species